CCUACGGGAGGCUGCAGUGGGGAAUAUUGGACAAUGGGGGCAACCCUGAUCCAGCCAUGCCGCGUGUGUGAAGAAGGCCCUCGGGUUGUAAAGCACUUUCAGUGAGGAAGAACGCCUGGUGGUUAAUACCCAUCAGGAAAGACAUCACUCACAGAAGAAGCACCGGCUAACUCCGUGCCAGCAGCCGCGGUAAUACGGAGGGUGCGAGCGUUAAUCGGAAUUACUGGGCGUAAAGCGCGCGUAGGUGGCUUGAUAAGCCGGUUGUGAAAGCCCCGGGCUCAACCUGGGAACGGCAUCCGGAACUGUCAAGCUAGAGUGCAGGAGAGGAAGGUAGAAUUCCCGGUGUAGCGGAGAAAUGCGUAGAGAUCGGGAGGAAUACCAGUGGCGAAGGCGGCCUUCUGGACUGAAACUGACACUGAGGUGCGAAAGCGUGGGUAGCAAACAGGAUUAGAUACCCUGGUAGUC
rnacentral:rRNA from 1 species